rnacentral:rRNA from 1 species
GAUGAACGCUGGCGGCGUGCUUAACACAUGCAAGUCGAACGAAGCACUUUACUUGAUCUUUUCGGAGUGAUUGUUUUGUGACUGAGUGGCGGACGGGUGAGUAACGCGUGGGUAACCUGCCUCACACAGGGGGAUAACAGUUGGAAACGGCUGCUAAUACCGCAUAAGCGCACAGUACCGCAUGGUACGGUGUGAAAAACUCCGGUGGUGUGAGAUGGACCCGCGUCUGAUUAGCUAGUUGGCAGGGCAGCGGCCUACCAAGGCGACGAUCAGUAGGCGACCUGAGGGGGUGACCGGCCAUAUUGGGACUGAGACACGGCCCAAACUCCUACAGGAGGCAGCAGUGGGGAAUAUUGCACAAUGGGGGAAACCCUGAUGCAGCGACGCCGCGUGAGCGAAGAAGUAUUUCGGUAUGUAAAGCUCUAUCAGCAGGGAAGAAGAAAUGACGGUACCUGACUAAGAAGCACCGGCUAAAUACGUGCCAGCAGCCGCCGUAA